ACAAACCCAAUUACUACAAUGGCAGCAAGAACUGUGUCACCUAAACACACAAAACCAAUUAACUCCCGCUACAAAGUUGAGGGAUAAAAUUAUGUUCCUCACCAGGCAAAUCCACCAGCAUGCUCUAGAGCGCACGAACUUCUAUCUUAAAAAACUGAAGGCCACAAACUACACUCAAGGAAACAAGGCCAAACUAAAAAUAGCAUACCUCCUUAAACCAAAAUGGG